GAUCACCCUGCCAUUGUUGUUUACUAUUUUUGGUUAUAUUUUACCGGGUGAUCUCAAUAUUUGUUCAGGUGUUUUUUAACUAAUAAGGGAGAUCCCACAGUACCUGUUACAUAAGUCAUUUUAAUAAGUUUAAGUAUUGACUUUGUCAGGGAUCUCCCUGUUUGUGAUGUGGUUUAUUUGUACAAGUUUUGAUUCGUCAUUAAUAAAUGACAUUAUUUCGUC
rnacentral:sRNA from 1 species